AUUACGAAAUUAGGGAAAAUUAAAAUAUAUAUAAUUUAAAAUAAUUACAAGUUGAUGUCGCUAUCGUUAAUAUCUCUUACAUAACGUAGCCAUUUUACAUUACAUACCACCAUGUUAGUAGUAGUGUGGCAAUAAUUGGGAAAAUUUCGCUUACAAUAUGCAGAAUUCCUUUCAAGACAUUCGAAGAUUUACCACUGAAAAUUUACAUCUCAAACUUAAGUUAAACAUACUGAAUUUCAUGAAACGAUUUAGUAAAGUUUCAUUAAGACUUUCAAUCGGAGGGUUCUUCUUUGUAACAAAAAGAUUUCCUCUUAGGAUGGCAAGUACCCUUCACACCGUGUUCUCAGGACUCCUGAAAUUGAGAAGUGUAAAAUAUGAACACAAAAUAUGUAACGAUAUAUUAAAUGAAAAUAGCACAGUUUCAUAAGAAGCGUUAAGAGUAAAUAUUAAACAUCUUAUUUAAAUGUAUAAAUUCCGUUUAGCAAAAGGGUCCGUUUAUGUGUCCAAAAUAGACACGCGUAAGGACUUCUUUGUCAUUAGGAAAAAGGGACAAGACUCUACUUCUUUUAGAUUGAGAAUGCAGAAUUCCUUUCAAGAUAUUCGAAGAUUUACCACUGGAAAUUUACAUCUCGAACUUAAGUUAAACAUACUGGAUUUCAUGAAACGAUUUGGUAAAGUUUCAUUAAGACUUUCAGUCGGAGGGUUCUUCUUUGUAACAAAAAGAUUUCCUCUUAGGAUGGCAAGUACCCUUCACACCGUAUUCUCAGGGCUCCUGAAAUUGAGAAGUGUAACAUAUGAACACAAAAUGUGUAACGAUAUGUUAAAAGAAAAUAGCACAGUUUCAUAAGAAGCAUUAACAGUAAUAUAUUAAACAGGU